rnacentral:rRNA from 1 species
GAUGAACGCUGGCGGCGUGCCUAAUACAUGCAAGUCGAGCGAACAGACGAGGAGCUUGCUUCUCUGACGUUAGCGGCGGACGGGUGAGUAACACGUGGAUAACCUACCUAUAAGACUGGGAUAACUUCGGGAAACCGGAGCUAAUACCGGAUGAUAUAUUGAACCGCAUGGUUCAAUAGUGAAAGACGGUUUUGCUGUCACUUAUAGAUGGAUCCGCGCUGCAUUAGCUAGUUGGUAAGGUAACGGCUUACCAAGGCAACGAUGCAUAGCCGACCUGAGAGGGUGAUCGGCCACACUGGAACUGAGACACGGUCCAGACUCCUACGGGAGGCAGCAGUAGGGAAUCUUCCGCAAUGGGCGAAAGCCUGACGGAGCAACGCCGCGUGAGUGAUGAAGGUCUUCGGAUCGUAAAACUCUGUUAUUAGGGAAGAACAUAUGUGUAAGUAACUGUGCACAUCUUGACGGUACCUAAUCAGAAAGCCACGGCUAACUACGUG